GGACGAACGCUGGCGGCGUGCUUACCCCAUGCAAUUCGAACGGAAAGGCCCUGCUUUUGUGGGGUGCUCGAGUGGCGAACGGGUGAGUAACACGUGAGUAACCUGCCCUUGACUUUGGGAUAACUUCAGGAAACUGGGGCUAAUACCGGAUAGAAGCUCCUGCUGCAUGGUGGGGGUUGGAAAGUUUCGGCGGUUGGGGAUGGACUCGCGGGUUAUCAGCUUGUUGGUGGGGCAGUGGCUUACCACGGCUUUGACGGGUAGCCGGCCUGAGAGGGUGACCGGCCACAUUGGGACUGCGAUACGGACCAGACUCCUACGGGAGGCAGCAGUGGGGAAUAUUGCACAAUGGGCGGAAGCCUGAUGCAGCAACGCCGCGUGCGGGAUGACGGCCUUCGGGUUGUAAACCGCUUUCGCCUGUGACGAAGCGUGAGUGACGGUAAUGGGUAAAGAAGCACCGGCUAACUACGUG
rnacentral:rRNA from 1 species